UACGUAGGCAGCAAGCGUUGUUCGGAGUUACUGGGCGUAAAGGGUGCGUAGGCGGUCCUAUAAGUAUGGUGUGAAAUCUCCCGGCUUAACUGGGAGGGUGCGCUAUAGACUGUGGGACUAGAGUGUGGGAGAGGAAAGUGGAAUUCCUGGUGUAGCGGUGAAAUGCGUAGAUAUCAGGAGGAACACCGGUGGUGUAAACGGCUUUCUGGACCAUAACUGACGCUGAGGCACGAAAGCGUGGGUAGCGAACAGG
rnacentral:rRNA from 1 species